ensembl:snoRNA
ACUGCCCCUAGCGGUAUUGCAGGUGUGGCUGUUGUGUCACAUGUCAGUAGGUGGCAGAGAGGAAAGCGUCCAUGUCUACUCAGUCUUCUGACCUAUGAACAAAAAGAAAGCCUGAGAUGACCACUAGU